GACGAACGCUGGCGGCGUGCCUAACACAUGCAAGUCGAACGGAACUGUUUUGAAAGAUUUUUUCGGAAUGAAUUUGAUUUAGUUUAGUGGCGGACGGGUGAGUAACGCGUGAGUAACCUGCCUUCAAGAGGGGGAUAACAUUCUGAAAAGAAUGCUAAUACCGCAUGAUAUAUCGGAAUCACAUGGUUUUGAUAUCAAAGAUUUUAUCGCUUGAAGAUGGACUCGCGUCCGAUUAGUUAGUUGGUGAGGUAACGGCUCACCAAGACCGCGAUCGGUAGCCGGACUGAGAGGUUGAACGGCCACAUUGGGACUGAGACACGGCCCAGACUCCUACGGGAGGCAGCAGUGGGGGAUAUUGCGCAAUGGGGGCAACCCUGACGCAGCAACGCCGCGUGAAGGAUGAAGGUUUUCGGAUUGUAAACUUCUUUUAUUAAGGACGAAAAAUGACGG
rnacentral:rRNA from 1 species